UAUCACCACCACACUUUUAGAAAAAAGAAACUAAAUCUAAAAACCCUAACGCCUCUUCUUGUUCUCGCUUGAAGCUGUUGUCCCUAAUCUAAAACCAGCUCCGACCGAUCUAUUCCUUGACGAACGGCAAUGACUCUCUCUGGCCGUCGUCGCCCACAGUCUUCCGAGUCAGGUCCAGCAGAUCUGCAAUGUAGAUGGAUGCCACCAGGAGCCACACACAAGCGCAUCAGCAAAAAGAAGAGGACAAAUCAGAGACCCAUGUACAUUGGCGAGGCUGAUUAGGACACUCUAGUGGAGUACUGGGAAACAGAACCAGAAAAGAAGAAGAGAAAGAAUGCUGGAAGCCACUUAUCUAAUCAUGAUGGCAUAGGGGUUCACAAGCAUUGUGUAUGUCCUCGACGUUUUUUGCAGAUUGAGCAUGAGAUGAUGAUUGAGUCUGGUUUGGAGAUGGAAUCACCAGCCUUCACUGAUCUUGUGCGGAGGAUACACUGACGCAAAGAUGGAAUUUUCACGGAAGGUCUGAUCUCUGUUUUGGAGACUAACUUCAAGUGACUCAACACCAAUGUUGGAGAUUUUAAUACUAACGUGGGAAUGGUUAUGGACGAGCUGGUUGCAUCGGUCAUGUAGUCUCUUAAAGUUAGACAACCCUCUGUUGCUAUGAUGUUUAUAGCUUUUAUGUUAAACUUUCGAACAGUUAGACUUUUAUUUUGUAAGUCUUUUUGGUAAUAUGUAAGACAAGAAGAACAGUUAUUUAGUAAGCUCUUUUGGUCAUAUGUAAGAUAAGAUUACUUA